GGUUUCCGGCAAUGCGCAUGUCUCGCACAAAUUCGAGUCUGCAGCUCCUAUCCGGUGUAAAUACUUUUUGUCAAAGGUAUGACCAGCAAUCAGUCUGUUUAUUAGCUUAGUAUCACUAGGACCAAAAUUCAUUUUAGAAACCCAUGGCUUUUUGUAUAUGUUAUUUGUAAUCUGAAAGAAGUGACUGCCUUUUGAUUCGGAUAGUAUUAUAAAUUCUUCAUUCCAGUCAUCUUUCACCAGAUUUUCGAUUCUGGAAUACGCCUCUUUAGGUGUUAAAAAUACAUCUACAGGAGCACCAACUAGAGAGGCCUGUUUGGCAAGCAAGUCAACCUCUUCGUUGAUUCUAAUGCCUCUGUGCGCAGGGAUCCAUACAAUGUGACAUUUUUCGAUAGAGGAUCUUUCCAAAAUUUUGUGACAUUCAGCAACCAGAUUGCUCCGGUCACUGACAGCAUCGGUGUCACCAAAAAUUGUGAACUACUCGGACGCAUACUUUCUAUCAAUUUCGAAUGGCCACACAGCAACGUACGAAAGCUACUCAUACACGAUACAGGGAACGAAUCUGAAGGAUUACGAAUACAUAAUUAAUGAAAAUGAGGAACUAUUUGAGCACUUUUCUGACCCCAGGGUAACGAACAUCGUUAGGGAGCAAAACAAACAAAUUCAUAGACUGCUUCAAACACUCCGCAUAAACAGACGGCACGCUCGAGCACUUGAUUUUAUUGGUUCAGCGCUCAAAGUCAUUGCAGGAAGUCCAGACCACGCUGAUUUCGAGCUACUUUCAUCAAAAGAAGAAUUGCUCAUCCAGAACAACAAUAGACAGACCAACAUUAACUCCGCAUUACAAUACAAAAUUAACGUACUUACCGAGAGAAUUAAAGUAUUAGAGGACACCAACAAAGCGUCUAAUGUCGUGUGGUUGGAUGAACUAAUACUUCUCGAAUUAAUAACUGCAAGAAACGGGGAUGUUGUUUUUUUCUUUUAACCAACUAGCCCUGUCUAUUACGCUAGCAAAAGCAAAUAUUGUAAACCCAAUAAUAGAUAAUGUAGAAAUUAAAAACAUGCUUGAAAAUGAAGGUGUACCAAUAAGCGUAGAUAACAUACUAAAGUCUAGUAAUAUAAGCAAUUUUCAAAACAAUAAUAUUAUAUUCUAUACCAUUAAAGUACCUUUAAUCACUAAAUUUUGCAAGUAUCUAAAAAUAUAUCCAGUAGUACAUCAAGACUCUGUCGUCAAAUUAUCCAUAAAUGAAGCAGCUCAAUGCAACGGUCACAAUACCCCAGUCAUCAACUGUAUCAAAGCAGGGGACGCCAACAUCUGCAAGGUCACUUCGAACGACUGUCUAUCUCGCUUAUUGAACAACAGUACAGCAACAUGCCCAACAGAGUCAAGCGACAACAUACCUCACAUUCAGGCCAUAACGGAUGGUGUAAUGCUUUUAAACAACGUCCACAGCUCAAACAUAACAGGCGCUGGUAACAUAAUGGUCGAAGGAACGGCAGUCAUAACGUUUGAAACCAGUAUAACCAUAAAUGGCACAUUAUUUUUCAAUGCAAAACAAACUACCGAACUUCACCUCCAAAAACUCUUAACAUAAAUAACACGGGCCAUGAAGUAAAACUGUCACUACCUUUUCUUCAUAAGAUCUACUCGAAGAACACUGAUAAUCUGGAGGCAUUGAAGAAUGAGAUACAGUCGCAUAGACUAGGAUUCAUAUCAUUUGCGACUAUAAUGGUGAUACCAUUCAUCACAUGGGCCUAGACGUUAAGGUAAUUGCAUCCCAGAUAGCUAGUCGGUGCAGAGACGCCCCGUUUUAAAAGGGGGGGGGGGGACAGUCAACAGCGGGCAAGCUACUAUUAUUAAGUUAACCAACCUGUUAGUACUAACCUCAUAUCAUUUUAUUGUGAAAUACUUACUAUGCAUUCUCGCAUUACUUAAGCUGCCUGUGCGUAGCUAAAAGAAUGCAAGUCUAAGACCAUAGCCUCCUGCUCGUGGCUGUAACAUAAAUAGUUGUUUAUUUGUAUCACUAACCAAACCCAUGAGAGAAUGCUGACAUAUGCAACUCGCAUGAGUACGAAAUUGUUACUGUUAAGGGAUGAAAUUAAUUGCAAUAAACAGAAUUGUUUCCACGACCGCAUAGUACGGUCAUAA